rnacentral:rRNA from 1 species
GCUCGUAGGUGGUUUGUCGCGUUGUUCGUGAAAUCUCACGGCUUAACUGUGAGCGUGCGGGCGAUACGGGCAGACUAGAGUACUGCAGGGGAGAUUGGAAUCCCUGGUGUAGCGGUGGAAUGCGCAGAUAUCAGGAGGAACACCGGUGGCGAAGGCGGGUCUCUGGGCAGUAACUGACGCUGAGGAGCGAAAGCGUGGGGAGCGAACAGGAUUAGAUACCCUGGUAGUCCACGCCGUAAACGGUGGGUACUAGGUGUGGUUUCCUUCCUUGGGAUCCGUGCCGUAGCUAACGCAUUAAGUACCCCGCCUGGGGAGUACGGCCGCAAGGCUAAAACUCAAAGGAAUUGACGGGGGCCCGCACAAGCGGCGGAGCAUGUGGAUUAAUUCGAUGCAACGCGAAGAGCCUUACCUGGGUUUGACAUGCACAGGACGCGUCUAGAGAUAGGCGUUCCCUUGUGGCCUGUGUGCAGGUGGUGCAUGGCUGUCGUCAGCUCGUGUCGUGAGAUGUUGGGUUAAGUCCCGCAACGAGCGCAACCCUUGUCUCAUGUUGCCAGCGGGUAAUGCCGGGGACUCGUGAGAGACUGCCGGGGUCAACUCGGAGGAAGGUGGGGAUGACGUCAAGUCAUCAUGCCCCUUGUGACCAGGGCUUCACACAUGCUACAAUGGCCGGUACAAAGGGCUGCGAUGCCGUAAGGUUAAGCGAAUCCUUUUAAAGCCGGUCUCAGUUCGGAUUGGGGUCUGCAACUCGACCCCAUGAAGUCGGAGUCGC